rnacentral:tRNA from 1 species
ACUGAGGUGGCAGAGCCCGGCAAUUGCAAAAGGCCUAAGCCCUUUCACCCAGAGGUUCAAAUCCUCUCCUCAGUU